GACUAAACAUUUGGCAGUCCUCUAUCAAGGUGGGUACUACUUAGGGCAGGAAGGAUCCUGCACGACGCUAUCCUGGAACUCUGUGCACAGCUUAAAAACGAUGCCGUGACUUUGGUGGAUGUUAUUGCUCCUCCAGACUUCAUUUUAAAAUUAAACUCACCUAUUGCCAAAGCUGAUGGAGAGGUAAAGAGAAAAUGACAAACCUUUAGGAAUAGGAAAAAUAUGUAAUAUGUACCUAGCAGAACCAAUCUUUUAUGGUUCCCCAGCAUCUGUUGUUUUCCACCUGGUUUAAUCUCCAGUUUCCUUCCAGUUACUUCAUGGGUUUACUCUAAUUUACUUUAAUUUUGAAUUAUAAAUUAUAAUUUGUUUUUAAAUUAAAUAUGAUGCAAUUCAAUUAGCUUUUGUAAUUUAAUUAAAAACGCGGCUGAGAACAUCAACUCAACAAAGGAGAAAAAAGUUGACUAUAACCUGCAACAAUAGAAGUCCAUGGUGACCUUGCUUUAGCUCGUCAGAGUACAAAAACAAAAGGGAACCUUAUUCACAGAGACAUUUCUCUUGGCCUCAGUGCAGUUGCACAAUGUUCUCUUCUAUAUUUUGUAAGAAAAAAAUUAA